AAGAGUCAUCGCAGAGUUCUCUGCAUAAGUUCUGAUGCUGCUCAGGUCUGUGUAUUUGGACCUGCAGUAAGACUGAGCGUCCGACCAGGUCAUCUUCUGGUCCACCAGGACGUUAUGGAGAGCUUCACCUGUUGAUAAACAAAUCAGAAAUAUUAAAUUCAACAAGGUGCAAUGGUCAAAAGAAAGAAAAUCAGCACAUUUUAUAAUGAAAAUAUUCUUAAAGUACAUUUUCUUUUAAUUCAGAGGAGCAUCUAUGAAUAGCCAGUAUCUUCCCUGCAGGGGACAGUGGUCUCGGUUUGGAGAAUCAGGGAGGAAUUCUUAUGCAAAGAGGAAAUCUGAGCAGGAUCCAGUCAGAAGAGAUUGGAGGGAUCCUUUUAUGGAAAAAAGAACAUAGUUCUUGUAACCACCUACCUACCCACCACCUUCCUGAAGACUCUUUGGAUCUCACCAUGAUGUUCCCUCUCACUUCAACAGUCAGGAGCACCAAACUAAAGGUCUGAGGUUUAAACAGCACAAACCUCCUUCAAAACAUUGAGUAAUGAUGUUAGAACCCUGAGGACCUCAUAUUAAGACCUCUGUCUGAGGCUUUGCUCAUCUGGAAUGGGAAGAAAGGACAUCCCAAACUUUGCUAAUUUUACAGGAACCGCGACUCUACAAGAACUCAAACAGAGCAGAUGUCAGGAUAAAACCAGAGAGAACAAUGAAACUAAUCCAUGUUGAUCAAUCAGACUCACCUUGAUAACAUAAAAACUGAUGCAGCUCUUCACAGUCAUUGGUGGACCAGGACCCAAAUUUAUUGACUGUCACACAAUUCCCGCCCCGUGGCUCAUAGCUGGACCAUAUGGCGAACAAAGAGCGGGUCGUAUCCUUA